rnacentral:rRNA from 1 species
UACGUAGGGUGCGAGCGUUAAUCGGAAUUACUGGGCGUAAAGCGUGCGCAGGCGGUUCGUUAAGUCAGAAUGUGAAAGCCCCGGCUCAACCUGGGGACGCCACUCGAUACUGCUGUGGCUAGAGUCCAGUAGAGGAGUGUGGAAUUCCCGGUGUAGCGGUGAAAAUGCGCAGAUAUCGGGAGGAACACCAACGGCGAAGGCAGCACUCUGGGCUGGAACUGACGCUGAGGAGCGAAAAGCGUGGGUAGCAAACAG